AUGGCCGCCCGGGGAAGGAGCAGAGCGAUCCGCCGCCGCGAUGACUCCCGUCCCGCGCCGCCGUUCCCCGCCGUAGCUUCUCAGAAGAGGAGGCAGAUGCAGCCGGCGGCGGAAGUGGUGAGCGUCCCCGAGGGCCCCCUCGUCGAGAUCCUGGCGCGGCUGCCCUACCGGUCGCUCUGCCGAUUCAAGUGCGUCUCCAAGCAGUGGCGCGUCCUCUGCUCCGACCCCAGCAUCGUCAAGAGGGCGACGCAGACCCUCUCCGGAUUCUUCCAAUACGGCCCGGCCGGCAGCCUCGGCUUCAGCAAUCUGUCCGGCGGACGUCCGCUGGUCGACGCUUCGCUCCCUUUCCUGCGCCCGAGAUACCAAAGGAUCAAUAUCGAGCAAUGCUCCACCAGCCUUCUCCUCUGCAAAUGCUGGAAACUGGAAUCGGAAAAGGACAAAUUCGAUUUCAUCGUGUGCAAUCCGAUGACCGAACAGUGGACCGUGCUGCCUCCUAUUGAAUGGCUGGACCAAGACAACGGAGAACCCGAAAGUUUCGAGCUGAAUUAUCCCUUCCUGGUUUUCGACUUGUCUGUUCCGUCUCGUUUCGUCGUGUUUGCGCCCCUCUGGGAGUCGAUCGACGUUGUGCCGAUAUACUCAUGGGAAACCGGACAAUGGACUCCCAGCACGGGGUGGGGACACAGACGGAACCGUGCCGUUAGCGCCGAAUGUGUCUUCCUGAAUGGCAUGAUCCAUUUCUUGCAUUUGCUUUUCCAUGGAACUUUCAUAACUAUACUAGACCUUUGA
rnacentral:rRNA from 1 species